CCGUGGUGACGUUGAGGCGCGUGCUGGGUGUCGCUUGUCCUCCCGUGGUCGCGUUGAGGCGCGUGCUGGGUGUCGCUUGUCCUCCUGUGGUCGCGUUGCUCUCCCUCCACUGGCGCACAGUCUUGGUGGUGGAGUGAGAGUGUCUUCCAUGGGUGGGGCCAUGGCACUGGAGGGUUGUGUAUCGAGCGCCUCGUUUCCCGUGAAUGUGCUGGUUCUGGUGACCAGGGUGGAGCCUCCCUGCCCCUUCCUUCCAUCCAGCAGCAGGUUCCCGGUUUCGUCCCUGCCAGGCAGGCAUGCAUAUUCAGAGUGUUUGGGUACCUGCAGCUAUUGAUCACGGCUGGAGGUAGCUCCGGACUCACGCGUGGAGGAGUGAUUUUCCCGAGGUGAUGUGGUAUUGGUCAGAAUUCUUGGGUACAGAUUGGCCGCAGUGAGUGAUCAGGUUGUCGUGAGCUCCUGGCUCCAUCUGGGAUUUGCUGUCUCCGUCCACCCUAUUCGGGUGGUUCCUGGCCGCACUGCCUCCUGAAGGCAGCCUCUCUAGCACUCACUGGCAUGUUGGCCUUCUCGAGGGGAAGGGGUUGCCUGUUAGUGUGUGCCAGAGACUCAGCACCAUGGGCAGACUCAGCGCCAUGGGCAGCCAUAUCCAGGGAGGGCGAGGGCGCUCCCCAGAAACCUCCUGGGCCUCUGUGGGUGUCAUCAGGGUAGUGAGCAGGAAGCCUGGGGGCUGAGCCGGGCUGCCUGGCUUUGACCCGGGCCUGUCCCGGGCUGGCACAGUGGCCCCGUGAGGGUUGCUGAGCCUCUCUGUGCCCCGCCUCUUGGUGAGGCAGGAGCGAUGGCAGUGCCCACUGCAUGGUGGUGAGAGAGGCAAUGGAACGCACGUGUCCAGGACAGAGGCUGCCCCGACCUGUGCUCUGCGGGUCACUCACGCAUCAUCUGCCGGGCGGGGGUGGAGGAGCCUCCAGAGCUCUUUGACACGCAUUUCCACACGAGACCUACACAUCAGCCACGUGGGCAGGGCCCGCUCCAGUUUAGCUGUUUUGCGGAGGAGAAAAUUGAGGUUGGGUUUUGUUCCUGACUCUCCCAGGUUGAAUGGCUGGUGCAUCAUGGAUGUGGGGGUGAGCCUUAAGUUUCCCAUCUCUGAGCGGGACCUGGGCUCUCUCCACCAUAACAGUGGCCCCUGUUACAGAGGGGCAGGUGGGUGACUCACCUGUGGGCACACCUGCGUCGCUUCUCUCUGGCUCACCUCCAGCGUGGGAGUGCUGGGGAUGCCUGCCAGCCACCUAGAGCCGGCGUCUUCCUCAGCAGCUGUUCUAAAGGAAGCAGAGUGGGACGACCUUGGGCUUCCUGGUCUCUGCACACUACCCGGGAUUCCAGAAUAUUCGUGAGAAGAAGCCAGUGGAGUGGUGUGACUUUUGUAUUUAUAGACUUCUUCCAAAGGUCACCUCUUUUAUUUCUGAAAAUCAAGUCACUUGAGGCCCAUCCCUACAGAGUGUCUGGAGCUCAGGGUGCACAGGCACCCAGGCCAGGGAGGAGAUGGGGCGGCUGGGGCUGGCGGGCCCCUUUCGCCCUGUGUGGGCUCGUGGCUGGCUUUUCUGCCUGGUGAGCUGGUUUCUAUCUGCCCCAGACCCAUUUUUCUGUGAAGAGUUUGCAGAGGAUGCCGGUUACAUCUUAGAUGAAAACUGGCCCUGUUUCCACGGUUUCCAAGUGUGCGGCUCUCAGCCAAGGCAGUACCCGGUGAGUGGCCUCAUUCUUGUGAGUCCCCGCAGGGCAGGAUAGAUGUUUCAGGUAAGGUUGCAACGUGGAGUUCCGGCUUCCUCUCCCUUUGACGUUUCAGAGACUCGGGGCUCCAUUUAAACAGACAAGAUGAGUGGAAGCUUGUGUUUUGUUGUUUUUUCACUAAGAGGUUUUGGAGGGGAGGAAAGCAGCCUUACAAUGAUAGCAUCAGGAAAAGAUCACACAGAACGGCAUCUUAUUAUGAAAUACUGAAAACAUUUAAAGAGCAAAUAAAAUAUGCAAAUGGAAUGGGACAGAAUUCGCACCGCAUGGCUCUUGCCCUCUCUUUCCUAAUAAAAAUUUAACUCUGAGGUCCGCGUUGGGACAUAGCGGUGCUGGGAUAAUGGAGCUUCCGUGAGUUCAGAGUGAAAAGCAUAUUGAUCAAAAAAAGCAGAAUUCUGACGUAGAUUCAUCCACAGCCUUUUCUUGGGUGACUCCUCUGUGCCCAGAGGCAGGGGCUCACUGUGUCCCGAAUGGCCUCUGCUUAGUGGCUGUGGCCUCCCGGGGCAAGGCCAGCUGGCGUGGAGGAGCCUGGAGUGCUGCGGUGGGUGCUAAAGUGACACAGGAAUGUUCUCUUGGCCCGUUUGCCAGACUCCCAGAGGGGCGCCUUGUCUACUCAGCCCGCUGUGUUCCGCUCUCAGCAGGCAGGAGCAUGUGAGUGAGCAGGUAUGAGACCCAGCCAGCCUGUCCAAGCAGCGACACAGGAGCAAGCUUCCUGCGGGGCCCACAGCCAGACCAGAUGUAUCGCCUUGAGGGAAACACAGUGGCACCCAGACUCAGGUGCCUAUGACCCUGAAGCCCCAGGGGGGUGUUAGUGUGCUAAUUAGCUCUUUUAGUUCUGCCAUCCACAGUCCAACACAGGGUGGCACGUGAGCAGCUCAGUUGGCCCCUGGCCCCAUCAUGUAGGGCGGCUGCCCUCUGCUGGCGAGGGCAAAGAGCCGGUGUGACAGCCUUUCUGGGUACCUGUACUUGGCGGGUCCCGAGCUCUUGUCCAGCAUCCAGGAAGAAUGAGGAUGUGCCUACAACCAAGCCGCGAGCAGGAGGAGUUUUGUUGAGUGAUGAAAGAGCUUUCUGCAGAGAGGGGACAUGGGGCAUGCAGGUGCUCCCCCCACCAGAAGGUGGGAAAGUCCCUCCAAUGUGUCUGACUCCAGGGCUUUUGUGGGCUCAGAAUAGGGGAGGGGCAGGCUGUAGGCAGUAUUGGAAAAGGCAACAUUUGAUUGGUUCAAAGGCAUUAUUCAGAAGGAAUCAAUGGGAAAGGAUGGGCAGACAGGAACAGAAGUUUCACUCUGGGUUGUGGGUUUUAUCCGGGACCAACAGUCUGAGUCUUUCAGCCUUCAGGCUGUUAUUUGUCUUAGAGGCAGGCUUCCAUCAGGCACCUGCCCCUGCCUGCCUAGGCAUUUGGCUUCCUCCCAUCACUAUCAGAAUCACCCUGUGAGCCCCAGGGAGUCCAUGAGGACCUCCAUGUAAGGGGGGGGGUGACGGGGAAGGCACAGGUGGGACUGCACAGCCACGUCAGGGAUGCAGGAAAGUCCGGGCCAAGAGCCACCUUGUUUAGGGACACGGAAUCAUGAGAGCUUGGCCACAUAGGGACCGUGGUGAGGACACCGGGUUGAGCAGAGGGCACGUGGGUGGGGCAGGGCGGGGAGGCUGUUGACCCAUCCACGGAGGGUUUGUCUCAGAGUUCGAUGGCCUGACUGCUGUGUAUUAAGGAAGAAGGCUCUGACAGAAUGGGGGGACUUGGAGAGGGAUCGGUUUGGAGGCCUGAAGGUGGUUGGGGUGUUUGACCCCCGUGAAGGCAGAGGUGGUACAGUGAUGUCCCAGGGACACAUCUGGGACCCACUGGGCACUGGGGAGAUGGCAGGAGCAGGAGCGGAGGGUCGUGCCUCGGUUUCUGCUGGCUGAGUUCGGUGUCUGAGUUUCUGCUGGCUGGUUUGGUGGUGCAGUGAGUAGACAAGGAUCUCAGAAGGGUGGGUGCGGGGCAAGGUUGGGAAUUUGACCAUGGAUUUCUCUUGAAGGUGCCGUGCUGGGGAAACGGUGUUGUGCAAGAAGGAGGGCGAGGAACGGAGGCAGCUGAGGGUCCACGGAGGAGGACGGGCCACAGGAAGAGGACAGGCUGAGUGAGCCGGGGGGAAGGCCUCGUGAGGCCAGUGCAGGCACGCCGGUGUGGAGGGGCUGCCAACUCCCUCUGGGCCUCCUGUAGGAGCCAUCUAGGUACAGCAACCACGUGGGGAAUAGCAUGAAAAAUGACGAGGCAGAGCAGAGAAAGACACCAGCCCCUCAUUCCCGAGGUUUCUGCACCGUUGUCACCAGCAUGCAGUCCUGGCCAGCUCCACGGGGGCCAUUCUGGCCAUUGGUCCACAGGGUCCUCCAGCAAAGGAAACAGAGCAGGAAGCGGAAAGAGCUGACGUCCCGUGGGGGCACCUUCCACCCUAGGCCGGCAGCGGCUCAGCCUUCUCAGCCUCGUCACCGUUUAAGCUCCUCCUUUUUCUUCUUUUCUCCUUAAUCUUUGCAUUUAGAAAGAUUCCUAUCAACAGUUUCCAGGGUCCUGCCAAAUGUGCCAUCACCAUUUAGCAUCCUCCCUAUUUUUUCUUUUCUUCUUCAUCUUUACAUUGGAAACGUCUUACAGAUGGUGUCCAGGGCCCUGCUGGAUGUGCCCCUGCUUCUCCACAGUCUUGUCUGGAACAAAGGAAAUGUCUUUUAUUGCUGUUCAUGCAGCUGUCAUCCUUGAAAGACAAGUCUCUUCUGCCAGUCACCAAGUCAGUCCUUUUCCUUCUGUCUUGCUCACGGAAGGCUCUCCUGGCCCUCAAGUGAGCAGCGGUGCGGCUCUUCAGGUGGUAGCACCCAUCCUGUUCCUGUGGGAACCCAGGCGAGCCUGCUGGCCAGGAAGCGUCAGCUUGUGUCUGAUUGCUAGGCCGCCCUGGGUGCUUCCUGGAUGUUCAGGCGCCUGUGAUUCCUGCAGCAUCUGCCUCAAGCUUAUGUGUAUGGAGCAGCAGAUCCCUUUGUCGGGGCAGUAGACUGUCUGCUAAGGAAAGUGGUGUUGCAGCAAAGGCCUUGCUUCACUGCUGUACUCCAAGCCAUCAAAACGGGUUUUUUUUUUAAAAUGCUCUCAAAAUGAAAAUAGAGACCCCAAACUCUUGAUAAAACAGCUCUCUAUGGAGAAGCUCCCCAGGCUAUGUAAACUCUAAUAGGAAGUGUUUAUUCAUCAUUUGUACAUGCACAAAUAUUUAUUGAAUGUCAGUUGUGAAGGCUGAUGAGUAAACCAGCAGGGGGAGUCCAGUACCCCGGUGCACUGAUGGGGAGCUAGCUAGAGGUGCUGUGCAGCCUUUGCCAUGGCUUCCUGUCCGGUGUCUGGAGGAGCAUCCUUGCAACAUAAAAGACAAGGGACAUUUAACAUGAUACUUGAAGGAUGAAUAGAAAAUGACCAGGCAAGACUUGGAAUUGGACAUGGAGAAAAGGCAAGAAGAAGGUUCUGGGCAGAAGGUUGGAAGGUGGGUUAGAACAUAA